rnacentral:rRNA from 1 species
CGCCUCUUGACUAACAUAAGAGGUCCAGCCUGCCCAGUGAAAAUUAAACGGCCGCGGUACUCUGACCGUGCGAAGGUAGCAUAAUCACUUGUUCUUUAAAUAGGGACUUGUAUCAAUGGCAUCACGAGGGUUGCACUGUCUCCUUUCUCCAAUCAGUGAAACUGAUUUUCCCGUGAAGAAGCGGGAAUAAAAUUAUAAGACGAGAAGACCCCAUGGAGCUUUAAAUUUAAUGGCAACUUAAUUACAUACUCCUUAUAUUUAUAAAGCUAUGCACGUUAAUUUUAGGUUGGGGUGACCGCGGAGAAAAAUUUAACCUCCAUGACGAAAAGAUCUAAAUCUUUAUCCGAGAACUACCUCUCUAAGAAUUAGAAUACUAACGGACAAUGACCCGAUAAUCGAUCAACGAACCAAGUUACCCUGGGGAUAACAGCGCAAUCUACUUUGAGAGCCCCUAUCGACAAGUAGGCUUACGACCUCGAUGUUGGAUCAGGGUAUCCCAGUGGUGCAGCCGCUACUGACGGUUCGUUUGUUCAACGAUUAAAACCCU